GUAUUCGUGUUGUCUUAUACCUAUGUAACUUUUAUUACAUAAUUAGUAAUAUUACUACUAAAAGAAAACAAUAGCAUUGCUCUCCAAUAUUCAUACAUUUAAUCUCUUAAAGCUGUAAAAGUAACAUAUGAUAUACAAGUAUAACAUUUAAUCUUAGUACUAAAUGUUAUUUCGGGUUCGGUAAUUAUUUCGAACUACAACUCGACCAAGCUAAGUUUGCACCUCGCUGGAAUGCGGCACCCCGCCCGCUUCCCCGCUCACCUUCCCGCGAUCACCCUGUCGCAUCAGUAUGGUUAGCAUCUUUGUCGCCAACACGUGAGAUACGAGUUUUCGCCUCCCUAUCCGUUGUAUUUUAAAUUGUUCUUGUUAGGUUUUUUGUUGAAGUUUAGUUAUAAUAAUAAUAAUAAUAAUGUUUUUAUUUCAAGUAUCCAUGACUCAUAUAAAUUGUUAAUAAGACUUAGACCUAUGUUAGUAGUUAUAUUUACAUCACAAUGAAUUACUGUGGUAACAUCCCAUGGGAGAUGGCACCACAGCGACCCAUGUUUAUACAGUCCAGCCUGCUUGCGAUCAUGCUCAGGAUACUGUUGGAGCUGAUAUAUAUUAUUAUAUUAUAUUAUUGAACUAUUUUUGUUAAGUUUUUAUUGAACUGUUGUUACUGAGCGGUUAACGUUCAUUUUUUUUUACUUCGAGAAGGUUGUUGUUGGCAACAAAAAUGAAAGCAAAGGUGAUGCACAGUGAAGGGAGAAACAUAAUCCUGAAAAAGAAACCUAAAGGAAAAUUAUUACUGAACAAUUGGGAUACAAAUUUAAAAGGUGCAAGAACGCCCGGGUAAUCUUAAUACAAAUACCCGACAUCGCUAUAUUUUAAUGUACCUAUGUAUAAUAUAUUGUUAAAAACAAUAAAUGCAUCUUUACAUUUUUAAAGUCAUAGCGUAUCCUUUUUUCAGACCAUAACUAAGCGGCAAUGUAACGUAAUCGAUGCGAGGUGCAAACUUAGCUUGGUCGAGCUGUACAUUAUUUUCAGACUAUAGACAACUUCUUGUUUUUUAAAGAAUCUUUUACUUUUUUACUGGAGUUCAACCAAAGGAUAUUUAACAUACAUGAAAGCUUGUACAGAUUAUGUUUUUUCGUGAUUGAGUAGGUACUUGGGAUGCCCUUAAUUUAUUUUUAUUUCAUAAUUUAAUAUGUGCUAAUAGAUUUGUAACAUGUUCGACUAAUUACUUGCGAAACAUGCGAAUAUUUACAAAUAUGAAUGGAAUGCAACCUAUAAAUUCAUUGAACCUUAUUAGGUAUUCAAAAAGAAUAAAUAUAUAUUUUUACACUUCAUGUAUGUUUGUUCACAGAAAUAAUAAACUAAGGUUUUGGAGAAGGUUCUUGAGACUGUCUUGAUGGUUGUCUUUUGUGAACAUUUGGUUUUCGCAGUCUAUGAUAAUUAGGCAUCACUUUGCUUAAGAAAUCAAGCUGCAAUAACUGAGAGGGCUGUUUCUCUAAAGCUUCUCUAACAUGAUGCUCUGAG